GCUCCUGUAGCUCAGUUGGUAGAGCAGAGGACUGAAAAUCCUCGUGUCGUUGGUUCGAUUCCGAUCGGGAGCACCA
rnacentral:tRNA from 2 species